UAGAGAUAAUUGUAAUAAAUCAUGUUGAUGUGUCUAAUUGUGGCAUGUCAUUAAGGGAAGAUUAAAGCUUCCAAUCUCUAA
rnacentral:tRNA from 1 species